rnacentral:pre_miRNA from 1 species
AGUAUAAUAACUGGGUCAACUGGUGGUUCCAUUCCAAGUUUUCUAAGGAAUCUUCAUACUGCUUUCCAUAAUGGUUGCACCAGUUUGCAGUCCCACCAACAAU